rnacentral:tRNA from 1 species
AUUUAAAUAGUUUAAAAAUAAAAUAUUGAUUUGUGGUGUCAAAGAUGUAUAGUAUACUUUAAAUU